ACCCGCUGAACUUAAGCAUAUCAAUAAGCGGAGGAAAAGAAACCAACAGGGAUUGCCCUAGUAACGGCGAGUGAAGCGGCAACAGCUCAAAUUUGAAAGCUAGCCUUCGGGUUCGCAUUGUAAUUUGUAGAGGAUGAUUUGGGGAAGCCGCCUGUCUAAGUUCCUUGGAACAGGUCGUCAUAGAGGGUGAGAAUCCCGUAUGUGACAGGAAAUGGCACCCUAUGUAAAUCUCCUUCGACGAGUCGAGUUGUUUGGGAAUGCAGCUCUAAAUGGGAGGUAAAUUUCUUCUAAAGCUAAAUAUUGGCGAGAGACCGAUAGCGCACAAGUAGAGUGAUCGAAAGAUGAAAAGCACUUUGGAAAGAGAGUUAAAAAGCACGUGAAAUUGUUGAAAGGGAAGCGCUUGCAAUCAGACUUGUUUAAACUGUUCGGCCGGUCUUCUGACCGGUUUACUCAGUUUGGACAGGCCAGCAUCAGUUUCGGCGGCCGGAUAAAGGCUCUGGGAAUGUGGCCUCCACUUCGGUGGAGGUGUUAUAGCCCAGGGUGUAAUACGGCCAGCCGGGACUGAGGUCCGCGCUUCGGCUAGGAUGCUGGCGUAAUGGUUGUAAGCGACCCGUCUUGAAACACGGACC
rnacentral:rRNA from 1 species